AAAGAUUAAGCCAUGCAUGUAAAAGUAAAUAUUCCGAAACUGCGAACGGCUCAUUAGAGCUUAUAUAAAGUUUUUGGCUGCCAUUUAGAAUAUCUUCGACAAAUUGAAGCUAAUACAUGCAUACAUGUCCUUUUCGAAGGGCGCAAUAUUAGAACUACUGGCUUGCCGGCGGUUGAUUUCAAUUAUCGUUUCGAUAUCGGAAGGCGACUUCCGAUGGCCAUAAACUGUGUACGCCCUAUCACCCAGCAGGUUAAUCAUUCGCUAACCAGGGGUAUUACGGGUAACGGAGAACUAGGGUUCGUCUCCGGAGAAGAAGCCUUUGAAAGGCUACUACAUCCAAGGAAGGCAGCAGGCGCGUAACUUAUCCACUACCACGGUGAGAUAGUAACUAGUCUUAACUAUUGACUGAUCUUUUAGGUUAGUCAUGGUCCAUGAGUUGAGCCUAAAUAGCUCUUCGAGGACCAAGUGGAGGGCAAGUCUGGUGCCAGCAGCCGCGGUAAUUCCAGCUCCACUAGCGUAAAAUAUUACUGCUGCGGUUAAAAAGCUCGUAGUUGAAUCUAGUCGUGUCCGUAGAGUUUGUCGUUGGCGUUUAUUCGUCUCUGGCGUUAACUCUCGGCCGAUUUUUGCUGGCCGCUGUUGGUCUUCGGACCUUUGGCGGCUAGCGAGUUACUUUGAUCAAAUCAGAGUGCUCAAAACAGGCGAAAGCUUGUAUGAUUUCUCGAGGAAUAACAGAAGAGGACUUCGGUUCUAUUUGUUGGUUCCAGAAUCGUUUAAUGGUUAAGAGGGACAAUUCGGGGGCAAACGUAUCCUCGCGCGAGGGGUGAAAUCCGUAGACCGUGAGGAGACGACCAAUAGCGAAAGCAUUUGCCAAGAAUG
rnacentral:rRNA from 1 species